UACGAAGGGGGCGAGCGUUGUUCGGAAUCACUGGGCGUAAAGGGCGCGUAGGCGGCUUUGCAAGUGACGGGUGAAAUCCCUCGGCUUAACCGAGGAACUGCCUGUCAAACUGCAUGGCUUGAGACCGGGAGAGGUGAGUGGAAUUCCCAGUGUAGCGGUGAAAUGCGUAGAUAUUGGGAGGAACACCAGUGGCGAAGGCGGCUCACUGGACCGGUACUGACGCUGAUGCGCGAAAGCGUGGGGAGCAAACAGG
rnacentral:rRNA from 1 species